CUCUUUUCAUCCUCAUCUCUGUCCUACCCAUCUCUCUCCAUUAGAUUGAACAUGGCUGGAAAGCCCAGGCCUGCCUCUGCCCAUCCAGGCCAGAAGAGACCACGGGACAGGAUCAUCUUCUGGGUGGAUGAAAGCAAAAGGACCCCUCUACUUAUCAAUCAGGUGCCAGCCAAGAGCCGGAGGACCCACCUAAGUACAGAGGUCAAGAACACCUACAACACUCACAAGGCCUGCAGGAAGGGUCAUGUGCCCCUGAGGCAGAUAAAGUACCAGACCGAGGAGUUGGAUUCCAUCCGGAGGGAGCUGAGCAAGAUCAAAGCCCAGGUGGACAGCCUGUUGGAGAGUCUGGAGUCCAUGGAGCAGCAGACAGACCAGCACGUGGGGCAGGUACUCGAGGGGGUUCCCAGGCCACGCUCUCCAUGGGUCCCAGUUAUUCCUGCUCCCGAAGAUACCAGGGCUUUGGGGUUCUUCUGUUCAUGUCCUUCUCUGACUGGAGGUCUCCUUUACCUGCAUUGGACUUCAUUUCUCUUGCCUGUGCCCAUGGCCAGAGGACCUCUAUGACCUCUAGGUUGUCCUGGAUCCCUCCAGAUAUCGGGAGUCAAAGCAGCCGUCUCAGGUUCCCUCUUGUUCUUUGGAGUUCUAGAUUACUGCUAGACUCCUGAUUGAGCCAGUUGGGACCUCCGAACUUUGACUGUUGGCUCUCUAAACAGGAACAAAGGACAGUGAAGGGGACAGGUGUCCUGGAAGUAAGGACUUCUCAAAACACUGAGUCACACAUCCAAGGGCCAGAGGGCCUACCAAGAAGCAGGCAGCUCAGGGC
rnacentral:lncRNA from 1 species